UACAAAAUAAUCAGCAAUUCUUUAUCAUAUAAAUUAAAAGAAUAAAGAUACAUCAUUUUUGCGCUGUUUUUGAACACAUUUUCACCCAAGCCAAGUCUACCUAAAUACGGCUAUGUGCUCAAAGGCAAUUUAAUAAAACAUAAAAAGGACUCUUAUUUUGGCAGCAGAUGCAAUUGAAAAUAAAAGCAACAAAAAUCCGACCAAAUAUUUUCCAGUUUUCCACUUUUUCAUUUUAUACUUUCUCCAGAUUAAAGUGGUCACUAAAAGAAAUCACCACAUAAAUGACUGUCAAGGCUUGGAACUAGUUGCAUUGCUUUUUUAGCAGAAGCUUCAUGCAAGAAAUGCACCACGCCUAAAAUGGAGUCAAGUUAUUCUGGUUCUCUUGAUUCUUUUCUGCUGAUAUUGCAAUCGUAGCUGAUUGAACGGUCAAAGCCGACAUGCCAAGAGAGGACGUCGAACAAGACUCGUCGCCAUUUACUAAUUGAUUAUUGGUGUUAAUAUUAAUGGAAUCCAUAGGGUUCCUCGAACGACAUGUGGC
rnacentral:lncRNA from 1 species